AUGGAGAUUGCCGUCUCCGCGGUGGCAAGCGAGCUCGCCGGCCGGCUCGUGUCUUUCCUCAUCAGCAAGUACAGAGGCCAGGCACGCCUGAGCAAGAAGGAGAACCUGGAGUCGCUGCGCCGGCUCCUCCUCAGAGUCCACACCGUCGUCGAGGAGGCUGAGGGGCGAUACAUCACCAACUCACGGAUGCUGCUGCAGCUCGAGACGCUCGCGGAGGCUAUGUACCGGGGGUACGACGCCCUGGACACCCAUGGCACCCUGGAGCAGAUCGGAGCACGACCGGAGGUGAGCGGCUCCUCAGACUCCAUGGAUUUCAGAGGUUUCCAUAGCACAGCUGCCAGCAAAGAGGUGCAGACCGCACUGAGAGCUCUGGAGGCCGCCUCUUCGGAGAUGGCCGAGUUCGUCGCGCUUCUAGCAGGCUGCGAGCGUAUGCUCCGCAGCCCGUACAGCUGCCACCUUCACAUCGACAACUUCAUGUUUGGCCGCCGGGUCGAGAGGCAGCGGGUCAUCAACGUCUUGAUGCAGGACGGCCACCCUCCACCCGGGGCUCUCGCCGUGCUGCCCAUCAUUGGCGGCCGCAGGGUGGGCAAGAAGACGCUGGUGUGGAGCGUCUGCUCCGACGACCGGAUCCGCUCUCGCUUCCCUUCCAUCCUCCACGUCGACGGAUGCGAGAUUCAGAUGAUCGACCGUGGCAGGUUUACUCCUCCUCCUGUGAGGACUUUGAUCGUCGUCGAGUUCCGGUCGGACGUGGAUGACAGGGAAUGGCACGAGUUCCUCACGCUGCUCCAAACUCUCACCGGCGCAGGGAGCAAGGUGGUGAUCAUAAGCCGGCUCGAGAGGCCAGCAAGGUUUGGAACCGUGAACCCCGUCCGGAUCAACAGCUUGUCAAGAGAGGAAUACGGCUACCUUUUCAAGGUCCUCGCCUUCGGGAGCUCCGACCCGGCGGACCACCCGCGGCUGGCGCUGAUAGGGAAGGAGCUGGCGACGAUGAUGGAGGGGUCACUCGUGCACCUCAACGUCUACUCAAGCGUGCUGAGGAACAACCUGAACGUUCAGUUCUGGAGCCGCGCUCUGAGGCUGUACCGAACGGUGAUGGAGGCUAACCUGUCCGUCUUCGGUGAGCACCCGAGAGCUCUUCUUGACAGAGGCAGCACCGUAGAUAUCACCAGGUUCUCGCCGUCGUCGUCAGCGGCGGCUACCCCGCUUCGAUUUGUGCUGCUGAUCGGUGGAAGGGGCUCUUCCGGGCCAGGUGAGCUCCCCAGUAUGACAUUUGGAGAUAUAAUAGCAGGCUCUGUUGUUCUGCCGAUGAAGUUCGAGCUGGUGUGGGAAUCACGGUUGCCCCCUUACACCGUUAUCUCCGGCACUUGUGUCGCACAGAAGCCUCAACACUCGACUUCACCGAGGAAGAAACGCCGUACAUAA
rnacentral:rRNA from 1 species